UGGAUUUGUAUGAAAGACAGCUGUGCUGGA
rnacentral:piRNA from 1 species